AUGAUUACUUUUGCUGACUUUCUUUCUCUUUAAUAUUUAAAAGCCAACAAUGCCGAGAAAAAGAUGCGCAAGACCCACAAUAUUAACUUCUUCAGAAAAGAAAACCAGGAGACAAAUUAUUGAUAAAAGAGUGGCGUACACAAGGAUAUACUUGGGGAAUCAAAUUGGCCGAUGGCUGACCUUAAGGGAAAAACUGGAUUUCAAAAGAGACACAGACCUUGCAGGAUUUUUGCUGGAUCUCUAUGACCAUGAUGAUCCAUUACCUAAAGAAGUAGUAGUCUCCUUACCUGAAAAUAUGAGACUCGUAACUGCGAAAGAAGAAAGAGAUUUACAUGAUGACUCCUCUUCAGCUGUUGGAAUAUGUGACAAUGAGGACCAGCUGACUGCAGAAUCAGCCUGUUCUUUACCACAAAAUAGAGGAUUCAGAACCGUGAAAGAAGAGAGGCAUUUGCAGGAUGAUUCCUUUUCAGUACAGACUGAUGAAAACCAUAGUCUUUUAACAUACAUGUGACAGUCAUAACAAGAUAUAUAAAGGAACUGUGAAGGAGAUGGAAUGGCCAGACACCACUUACUAACAUUCUGUCCCGUGCUGAUGAUGUCUUUUAAAGUGUGCGUUAUGACAUUGAGUGUGUGCACUGCAAUGAAGGACUCUGCAAUCCCUUAAAAUAACGGUCAGUUUUAAAGCAUAUGUGGUUCUGCUAGUUCAUGAAGUCCCUAUUGAAAAUAUUUCCAAUGUAUUUAGGGCCACGUUCUAUUCCAGUCAAGUGCUCUAGUUUUGAGAUUGAGUAAACGUUGGAUAGUCAAUCCAGCAAACAUUGUGCAGACCAGUAGUAUUGCUGUGUGCAGUUCAUUUUGCUCAUCUUACAUUUCAUUUGUAUCCAUUUGUGUCCACUUUUAAUGAUUCUUAUGAAAUGUUAUAACAUCAGUCUAAAAUAGUGUGGCGCCCAUGGAGGUAACAAUAUCAUUUUGCCAGUCGAUUUGGUUGACCUCUUACUGUACUUCCACCAAACCUAUUCACAUCUUGACAGUAGAAACCAAGAAAAGCUCCAGUAGGUAUGAUUGUCCAUUUCUUUCUUUAGGUUCAGUUAUCCAUAAGAAUUGAUGAUUAAUUUGGUACAUAUUUUAGUGAUCUUUCUAAAAAGGUACUUUCAAUAUGUGCACGGGACACUAGAGAGCCUAAGAAAUUAGUGUAAUUGCAUGGUAUCCAGUCUCCUGGAUAUACAGUAAUGUAUUCCAAGAACAGAGGCCUAACUUUUAAAUAUGAGUUUUCUGUUCAAAAUUAUUAUUCCUGAAUCUUCUAUUUCUGAUUUUUUCGUAAUAUGAUUAAUUUGAAUAUUUCCCUUUUAACAGAUAAGUCAGUAUUCAUACAAUCAGGCUUCCUGGUAUUCAGGUGAAGGUUCUCCUAUUGGCUCUGAAUCUGACCUUUCAGAAAGGUAAAAUUAUUUAAUACAGAAAGUAUUUCCUUUGUGCAUAGUAUUAAUUGAUACUUUGAAGAGCAGUGUAUUUUAUAUUGUUUGUAAAGUAUUUACUAAAUAUUCUUAUUAAAGGAAUAUUAAAAUUAUAUUGUCUCAAUGUUUUAGUUUCUCUUCUGGUUCCUGAGACUGGAUCUUGAAUAUUUUAGCAUUCUUAAGGACUUCCUUUACAUCUAAGCAGCUUCCACUAUUCAGUCUUUACUUGUUUGAAAGAUACCUUCUAACUACAGUCUUGUUGUUUUCAGAGCCUUUGUAGCAAGUAUUUGCCUAUUUCAUACCCAUUUGGUCAUCUAUUGUAGAUAUCUCUUAGUUUUUAAUAGCAGAUUUAAGAAACAGUAUUGUUUCAUGUUCUUCAGGACACUACAGGCUGUGAAGGGUAGGUGAGCUCUUACUACCCAAAUGAUUCAGGGCAUUUUUUUGUUUGUUUUGUUUGUUUGUUUGUUUUUGUUAAUUAACCUGUUGGACAUGUAAGAACCCAGUUCUAAGCUUUAAUUCUAGUUUCUCAAUUCCAUGUCAACUUUAGACACUAGUUCAUGGUUGUCAGUCUUUAUCUCAAAGCAAUUAAUUCUUGCUUUGAAUAGAUCAGACUUGCCAUCAGUCACCCAACUGAGAAGCUCCUACUCUGUGAUUUGUUUUCAUUCUGUUUUUACGUUUAACCUAAUUAAUAAGGUUGCGAGUAGUCACUGUUUUUAUAAUCAAUUGGCACUUCCCAUUUUCCCUUGCAGACAGCCAUGCUUAUCUCGUAACGUACAUCAAAUAAGUCUGAAUAUUUGACAUUUAGUGUACAGUGUGAGAACUCUUCUGGCAUAAGACAGAAUUAAGUUCUUGUACAUGAUGUGAUCGAAAGACAGUGCUUGAAAAGUAUGUGUGUACAUACAGAUAACCAUGUUUACAGAAGUUCAGCACAAAAAAAAUGCAGCUUUGCUCAUUUAGCCCUUAAGUAAUAAAAGAAAGCAAACAUAUAAUGGCUUACUUUUC
ensembl:lncRNA